CCGCCGCUGGCCAGGCUCUCCACGAUGUGCGCGCCGGGGCGCCGCUCCCGCUCCCGAGCAUAGCAGCGGCGGCGGAGCCCCGCCGCCGGCGAGCUGUCUCUGGCGGAGGAGGGCGGGGGCGAGCUCGCCGUCUCCCUCGCGCUCAACAAUCUCUUCUCCCACGCCGUCGCCCGCUUCACGGCCUACUUCGGCCUCAUGCUCCCACAUCGACCGGCUCUUCGGCGCGGAGGACGUCCAUCAGGCGGCGGGCGAGAUCUCCGGCCGGGAUGGGCCACUGCCUCCACCAUCACCGCCUCUUCGUUGCCGCCGCCGCCGACAUGUGCGAGGGAUGCCUGUCUUCUUCAAAGAACGAGAUGCAUGAAGGAUGCAGAGGAGACAGGCUCCAUGGCGUGUUCCUGCUGUAAAGCUCUCGACCUACACGUACACGUUUCUUCUUCACGCGAGUUUGAAAACACACAUACUACCGCGAGCCGGAGAUCCAUCCACCCAGUUAUGGAUCCAUCAGGUACAAGCCACUAGCCACCAGGGCACACCUCCGAGCUAGCCGAUGCUUAGUAUACCAGUGUUCUGCUGCAUCCGGUGCGACCUCAAAGAAUACCUUCGUCUAGCUGGCCGUUGAGCACCUUAGGGACGACGAGGUGCAGUGCCUGGGGUGUAAGCAGUUCAACUACACGAUGAAGUGAGUAAAGGGGUUAAGACGGUUGCGUUGUGCGUGCGCUGCUUGCUUGCUGUCAACUUGUUGGACAACUGUACACAUAUGUGUUUUUUCAAGCCCACUGAUUUCAGCCUCUCCGUCUCCUUCAAGCCGAUGAGAAGUUCAGGGAUAUUCCUGGGAGUGCCUAUUAUGUGGCUCCGGAGGUGCUGAAGCGGAUAUAUGGAGCCGAUAAUUGCAUAUGGAGUGCUGGAGUUAUACUCUACAUUCUGCUGUCUGGCAUUCCUCCUUUUUGGGCAGCAGGGCAGAUCCUCCUGUGAAGCAUAAAUUUCAUUGUAUCCAAGGAGAUAUCAAAUGCUGAAAACAUGGGACUCAAAAUGUAUAGAGAGUCGGAGACACUGCUAAACUGUCAUUUAUGGGUGUCUACCAAAUUCACUAUCAACCACUGUUGUAGGACCGGCGGUUGGGAGGACAUAGACUAAGAGCUAUAUAUGAUGAUUCUACAAAAGAUAAUGUACUGAAAGACAUGAGAACUUUUAGGAUGCUACAGUGUAAAAAUAUUUGGAAUAUGGUAUGGUUUGCCGGACCGGAACCAAAGCAAGAACGAGAAGGAGCUUAAGUAGGGCCAUGUCGGGGUGUCGCCACAAUAGGAAAUUGUCGCUGGUGCUAGAUACCAGGGGAACCACAAAAUCUUUUUUCUACAAAGGUAACGAACUUUUUGGGUCUAGAGGGACCAAGAUGAGCAGGCCAUCAACAUCCUAUUCCUGCUUAUCUUUGUUUUCUUUGUAUCUGUAUUAUUAAUCUUGGUUUCAACUGGCGUGUUGAGUGCAAUCUUCCGAGUGCAAUCCUCAAAUAUGGGAUGUCGUACUAGCCUUAAUUCAACAUCUGGAAUGGCUUAUGAUGGCAUGGAGUUCCAUCAUUUCGGCUGCUUGCGGCGGGGAGUGUGGCCGGUGCUUGCGGCAGCAGCGAAGCGGCGUGUCGCGAGC